UGCAAAAUCCUCCCUGAUUUUUUCUUCAUUUUCCUGGGAGUGGGGAAAUGAGAGCAUAAGAUUAGCUUUUGCAGCUCCUGCAUAUUGGAACUCACCUGAGCUGUGGUGACUUAUGAAUUGUCUGGAGAGAGGACGAUGCUUGCCUGUGCACUUCCACCAGCUGCAAAGUACGGUGCUUGUCUUACAGAAUCAAUUGGAUUACCAAGAUGUGAGCUCACGGGAUCACUUUCUUAACGUGAAGGAAAGAAAACAGAAAUGUUGCUGGAAAUAAACAGUCCAAAAAAAUUCAGAAGAAACCAUGACCGCUUCAAUUCACUACUGAUAUGGCCAGAUCCAAGGUUAUAACACCCUUGGCCAGGCUGGGUGAAUAUGAUGGAAAAAUGUGAAUGUUCAACUACAGAGGCAAGGAAAAUUGGACGUGCUCCAGGGAGCUCAUGAUCCAUGCAUUUCAUGAGGUGAAACAGAUGGAUGAAGCAGACACAUGGAGUGGGUAGGAGGAGGUGGGAGGAUGUGUUAAAGGAAAUGGCUUUGUAGAAUUAGCAGCACUUCAUUUUCUAGCACAGAUCUCCCUAUGACAUCAAAGAAGUCACUUAAGACCAGGGUUGGGCUUUUUUAAAAAAAAUACUGUCUGAACAGGUGUU